AUGGAAUUCAUACAACAACUAAUGAUUUAUUUAUAUAUAUAUUCUUUCUUAUACAGCAACAGAUAUCGCAGCCAAACAUGGAGUAACAUAUGAAAACAUCCCACGGUUAGGACAUGGUCAGCUCUUUGUGGAUAAUGAGGGAUAAAGUUUCCCAGAGGAAUGGACGUCACCUGCUCUGAGAAGAGGAAGAAGAAGUGAAUAUUUGGUGAAACAUGGACUGAAGUUCACUGAUGAGGCCACACAAAAAGGAUUAAAAAAAUGCAAUUCACACAGUUAUGGCUGACAGCUGUGAAAAAGAGAAAAACAUUAUAAUAUGGAUUUCUUUAAUAUUUCUGUAUGAAUGAUAAGCAGAUUGUGCAUGAAUAGGAGGUUCAAAGGCUGUA